GAUGAACGCUAGCGGCAGGCUUAACACAUGCAAGUCGAGGGGCAUCGAGAGUAGCAAUACUUGUCGGCGACCGGCGCAAGGGUGCGUAACACGUGAGCAACAUACCCGUUUCAGGAGGAUAACCGGAGGAAACUCUGCCUAAUACUCCAUGACAUCAUCAAACGGCAUCGUUUGAUGAUUAAAGAUUUAUCGGAAACGGCUUGGCUCGCGGGACAUUAGCUUGUUGGUGAGGUAACGGCUCACCAAGGCUACGAUGUCUAGGGGUUCUGAGAGGAAGGUCCCCCACACUGGAACUGAGACACGGUCCAGACUCCUACGGGAGGCAGCAGUGAGGAAUAUUGGACAAUGGUCGGAAGACUGAUCCAGCCAUGCCGCGUGAAGGUUACUGUCCUAUGGAUAUUAAACUUCUUUUGUAUGAGAGCAAUAAGGUGCACGCGUGCACCGAUGAGAGUAUCAUACGAAUAAGCAUCGGCUAACUCCG
rnacentral:rRNA from 1 species